AUGUAGCUCAGUGACAAAACACUUGCCUAGCAUGUGUUUGGCUGGGUUCAACCCCAGAACUCGAAGAAAAAAAAAAAAAGACUACAAGAGACAAGAGAAGACAUAGAGAGAGUGCACAAGGCCAACUCCUUGAAGAACCUUUGGGAAGAGAAUGACUCAAGCCACAUUGUGUGCAGUCUGCAGCAUAUUUAUGAAAGGCAAAUGUGUUCAAGGCAAGGGUAACUGUACCCUGGAGGAAGGUGGUCGAUGCAGAACCAGGGACAUCUAUUUUUUCAACACACAAGGUAAUGCUAUGGAAAGGUCUAAGGUAGCCCUUUGCAGGAGAUAUACACUUUUCUACUUUGGAGACCAGGCUUGAUGUGGUGGGGAAGAUCCUUUCAGUUUGAGCCCCAGGUAUUGUUUUCUGGCACUAAGUAUGAAAGCUUUUCUUUUCCAGAUGGAUAUGCCUACAACC
rnacentral:lncRNA from 1 species